AGCCUCAUCCCACAUGAGAAUGGGCGCUGUUGGUCAGUGUCCAGAAUUGGUCAGUGUGGCUAAAUUGAGACAGGUCAUGCUGCUAUUACAGUAACCUUAAUGUUCUGAGAAAUAAAUGUGUGUGUUUU
rnacentral:snoRNA from 1 species